GGCCGGGCCGGCCCGGCGCGCGGCGGCCCCCGAAAGCUCUCGGCCAGCGAGCGUUGCGCAGAGGACUGGAAAGCGCGGGGCCGUGCCUCGGCCUCCCCUUGCAAAAACGCGGAAACCAGCUCCUGCGCCUCGGCGAGGAGUAAUGCACCAAAUGAAAUUAGCUGGAGAGCCCUUGAUGGCGCAGAAUCACGGCUUGAAGAUGUUUACACUCCACGCCGGACGCGUUUGAUGGUGUUCUCUUCGGCACAAUUAAUUUUGCAAAGUUCAGAAAUGUGCCAGAUAGAGCCCCUGGCACGCAGAGUCACAGGGCCCUGCAGACACACCUUCAAUAGGAAGCCAGCUUGUUUGUGUCGUUUGUGAUUUAUUUGAUACACCAGCACCAAGGCCCAUGUGUUUUCUAGAGACGUUUGGGUGAAAUUCUAAGCAGUUUCUAAAUCGGCGAAAUGAAGUUUAUUUUCUGAAAUAACAUUUCCCUGUUGAUAAUGUGACUAAAAUGGGCAACAAGACACGUGCAAGAACGUUAAUUCAAAGUAAGCUUCCGAGACAAAAACGUGCAUUUCACAGUAAGAGGUGGUCCCUAUUAGUGUCCUACUGGCCAACUCCAUCCACGUGCAUAUUUAGAACACCAAAAAUGAAUGCUUCCUAUUUUGUCCCUAAGAUCUUGUCUGGAAAACAUGCUUCUACUAAGUGUACCUGAAGCUCUGUUUAAGAUGUACAGCACUGCUUUUUGUUUACCCCCAUUCUUGAGCCCAUGAUGGUUUGGGAAAUUUAUCAGUAUUCCAUAUUGGAGAAUCCUCUGUCUUUUCCAAUAAGCACAGUGCCUAGGGCCCAUAAUAGUUUUAGGGGCCCGCAAAAAUGGUCUAAUUUCAAAUCAGAAGGGAAGAAAUUAACAUUGAGGUUUAAGAAAGUAUUUCAAUAUAUAUUAAAGUAUUUGUCUUUACAUUAAUACAAUGUUAAAAUACAAUUUUUAAUUUUGUUUUAACCGAGGAAGGGAUUCAACAAAGGCAAAAGUGCCUAGGGCCCCAAAAAUGAUGCGGUCCCAUUGCCUGGGAUUGAAAAAAGUUCCUUUUCAUGAAACAAAUUUGCAGUUUUAAGCACGUAAAAUGCUAACUUCUGUGACUGCUUUCCAGCUAGGAAGUAAGAAAGAAAGAAAAAAAGGAAAGCUAAAUGGAGAAAGGAAAACAUUUGGGAGCAAUAAUGCUUAACCUAGCAUCCAUUGGGUAUACACACCAUGUACCCGGAACUGUUCAUUACUCAUUUAAUCCUCCAGACACACCUGUAAAAUAGGUACUGUUAUCAUACCUAGGCGUUGAUGCAGGUUUUUGUUAGGCCUGAAAUUUAUGCAUUUGGGGUAGUCCUCUUAAAAAAAAAAAGAAAAAACAAAUGCAGCAUACUCAUCCU